UACGGGGGGGGCAAGCGUUGUUCGGAAUUACUGGGCGUAAAGGGCUCGUAGGCGGCCAACUAAGUCAGACGUGAAAUCCCUCGGCUUAACCGGGGAACUGCGUCUGAUACUGGAUGGCUUGAAUCCGGGAGAGGGAUGCGGAAUUCCAGGUGUAGCGGUGAAAUGCGUAGAUAUCUGGAGGAAUACCGGUGGCGAAGGCGGCAUCCUGGACCGGCAUUGACGCUGAGGAGCG
rnacentral:rRNA from 1 species